UACGUAGGGGGCAAGCGUUGUCCGGAAUCAUUGGGCGUAAAGCGCGUGUAGGCGGUUCGGUAAGUCGGCUGUGAAAGUCCAGGGCUCAACCCUGGGAUGCCGGUCGAUACUGCCGGACUAGAGUUCGGAAGAGGCGAGUGGAAUUCCCGGUGUAGCGGUGAAAUGCGCAGAUAUCGGGAGGAACACCGAUUGCGAAGGCGA
rnacentral:rRNA from 1 species